rnacentral:rRNA from 1 species
UAGGGAAUCUUCGGCAAUGGGGGGAACCCUGACCGAGCAACGCCGCGUGAGUGAAGAAGGUUUUCGGAUCGUAAAGCUCUGUUGUAAGAGAAGAACGGGUGUGAGAGUGGGAAGUUCACACUGUGACGGUAUCUUACCAGAAAGGGACGGCUAACUACGUGCCAGCAGCCGCGGUAAUACGUAGGUCCCGAGCGUUGUCCGGAUUUAUUGGGCGUAAAGCGAGCGCAGGCGGUUAGAUAAGUCUGAAGUUAAAGGCUGUGGCUUAACCAUAGUAUGCUUUGGAAACUGUUUAACUUGAGUGCAGAAGGGGAGAGUGGAAUUCCAUGUGUAGCGGUGAAAUGCGUAGAUAUAUGGAGGAACACCGGUGGCGAAAGCGGCUCUCUGGUCUGUAACUGACGCUGAGGCUCGAAAGCGUGGGGAGCAAACA